rnacentral:lncRNA from 1 species
CUGAGGUUCAGGGUCAGCUCACCCUAGACACAUGGAUCGAGUGGGGAGGGUGAAUCCUCAAAUGCUAAUCAGGUUCUGUUGUACAGAAGGGGAAGCGGAGGCAGGAGGAUGCAGCAAGACCUGUUCCCUCCUCUAACGGCACUCAUAGGACAGCCCAGCCACACAUUCAAAGAAUCUUGAAGGAAUAGGAUGGUUGGUAUGGUUGGUGUGGAAGAAGGUUCAUAAAUUCUGGAUUUAGCUUUGUGGGAUUCAGCUGACCUGAAAUUUAUACCUGUGCAGGUCCCCAGCAGCUGCCUGUUCUCCCCCUCCACUGGGCUAGAGCUGUGUCACACAGGCUGAGCGGCCAGGAAGCUGGGCACCAUCCAGGGAGUGUGUGAUCGUCGGGGUCCUGUUGGUUCCUGCUUUUGAGUAAUGAAGGUGACCAAACCACAUGACCCUGUCUGCAAAGAUUCCACCUGGACUCCCAGUUCCUCCAAGGAACCGUCAUGUGGUUCAAAUCCAAUGAAAUUCUCUAAAUCUCCACCCUCCUCAGGGUGCAGAGUUGGCUGCUUCUCUGUGCCCCCUGCUGAUCACGGCAACCCCUGGGUGCCUCGGCCUGCGAAGCCCCAGCUGUCCUCCGUCUGCAGACAAGCCGAGGUAUGAAAGCCUCCUCGCUGGCCCAGGAGCCUGUCAUUGUCCUCCAGCAGCUCUAGCCUGGAUGCGGUCCCAGAGAUAAAUCAUAUCUCUUUAAAAAGCC